UACGUAGGGGGCAAGCGUUGUCCGGAUUUAUUGGGCGUAAAGAGCGUGUAGGCGGCUGGGUAGGUCCGCUGUGAAAACUCGAGGCUUAACCUCGAGACGUCGGUGGAAACCAUCCAGCUAGAGUCCGGAAGAGGAGAGUGGAAUUCCUGGUGUAGCGGUGAAAUGCGCAGAUAUCAGGAAGAACACCCGUGGCGAAAGCGGCUCUCUGGGACGAUACUGACGCUGAGACGCGAAAGCGUGGGGAGCGAACAGG
rnacentral:rRNA from 1 species